AAUAAGCUUACAUAGCAUUUCACUUACACUGAAAAGAUUCUUACAUUUAAACCUUUAAUA
rnacentral:tRNA from 1 species